UACAGAGGUCUCAAGCGUUGUUCGGAUUCAUUGGGCGUAAAGGGUGCGUAGGUGGCGCCGUAAGUCAGGUGUGAAAUCUCGGGGCUCAACCCCGAAACUGCAUUUGAUACUGCGGUGCUCGAGUACUGGAGAGGAGAUUGGAAUUUACGGUGUAGCAGUGAAAUGCGUAGAUAUCGUAAGGAAGACCAGUGGCGAAGGCGAAUCUCUGGACAGUUACUGACACUGAGGCACGAAGGCCAGGGAGCAAACGGG
rnacentral:rRNA from 1 species